rnacentral:rRNA from 1 species
CCUACGGGUGGCAGCAGUGAGGAAUAUUGGUCAAUGGCCGCUAGCCUGAACCAGCCAUGUCGCGUGCAGGAUGACGGCCCUAUGAGUUGUAAACUGCUUUUGUAUGAGGGUAAACUCCAGUAUGUGUACUUCUUUGCAUGUACCUUAUGAAUAAGGAUCGGCUAACUCCGUGCCAGCAGCCGCGGUAAUACGGAGGAUUCAAGCGUUAUCCGGAUUUAUUGGGUUUAAAGGGUGCGUAGGCGGUCUGUUAAGUUAGUUGUGAAAGCCCGAGGCUCAACCGCGGAAUUGCCUCUGAUACUGGUAGGCUAGAGAGUAGUAGAGGUAGGCGGAAUUCGUGGUGUAGGGGUAAAAUGCGUAGAGAUCAAGAAGAAUUCUCAUUGCGAAGGCGACCUGCUAGAACGUAACUGACGCUGAUGCGCGAAAGCGUGGGUAGCAAACAGGAUUAGAUACCCGGGUAGUC